UGAGGCUCUUGUUCCACGUUUGUGUUUUGCAAACACAACUACGAGUUAGCCGCUUGGUGGUGAUAGAUAUGAUGGUAACGUUGUGAGAAAGCAAAGCACAACAGAAGCAAGAAAUCUGACAAAAAUGCUUGUUCGAGAUGAACUGCGCCUCGCCUUGGUGGUCAGCGAGAGCUGCCGGUUGCAGUUGGGGGAGGAGGUUAAAAGAAAGCCGUCAAGUCGGACAGUCGCCACCUGCAACCCACGUGAGCUGUGGCGGAUCUUGCGGCGUUUGCGUUCUUCGUGGCUGAUGAAGUGAAUGCAGUAGAAAUCGCUCUGCUUUUGCGUGAAAUCGAACUAAACAUUCUUGAUCAUUGAGCAGGUUAAACCCAGCGUUUGUUUUACAAAUCCAUAGUGGUGAA